rnacentral:rRNA from 1 species
GAUGAACGCUGGCGGCGUGCUUAACACAUGCAAGUCGAACGGAAAGCCCCCUUCGGGGGUACUCGAGUGGCGAACAGGUGCGUAACACGUGAGUAACCUGCACUUGACUUCGGGAUAACUUCAGGAAACUGGGGCUAAUACCGGAUAGGAAUCCUUGCUGCAUGGUGGGGGUUGGAAAGCUUCGGCGGGUUUGGAUUGACUCGUAGCUUAUUAGCUUGUUGGUGGGGCAGUGGCUUACCAAGGCGUUGUAGGGUAGCCGGCCUGAGAGGGCGACCGGCCACCAUGAGACGGAGAAGCGGCACAGGAUCGGACGGGGCAGAAAAGGGGGGAAUAAUGCACAAUAGGCGGAGUACGGAUGCAGCAGGUCCUCGGGCGGGAGAACGGCCUUCGGGGUGUAAAACGAUUGCAGCAGGAGCGAAGCAUGUGGUGACGGUACCUACACAAGAAGCACCGGCUAACUACGUG